rnacentral:rRNA from 1 species
UACGUAGGGUGCAAGCGUUGUCCGGAAUUACUGGGCGUAAAGCGUGCGCAGGCGGUCUUGCAAGACAGAUGUGAAAUCCCCGGGCUCAACCUGGGAACUGCAUUUGUGACUGCAAGGCUGGAGUGCGGCAGAGGGGGAUGGAAUUCCGCGUGUAGCAGUGAAAUGCGUAGAUAUGCGGAGGAACACCGAUGGCGAAGGCAAUCCCCUGGGCCUGCACUGACGCUCAUGCACGAAAGCGUGGGGAGCAAACAGG